GUGCAGAUGCAAAAACAAAGGGUCCUCACGCUUUCUUUCAGUCUGACUGUGGCAGCCAAGAUUAAAUGAGGGAAUACAGUG
ensembl:snoRNA